GCUUUACACAUGCAAGUCGAGCGCCCCGCCAAGGGGAGCGGCAGACGGGUGAGUAACGCGUGGGAAUCUACCCAUCUCUACGGAAUAACGCAUGGAAACGUGUGCUAAUACCGUAUACGUCCUUCGGGAGAAAGAUUUAUCGGAGAUGGAUGAGCCCGCGUUGGAUUAGCUAGUUGGUGGGGUAAAGGCCUACCAAGGCGACGAUCCAUAGCUGGUCUGAGAGGAUGAUCAGCCACACUGGGACUGAGACACGGCCCAGACUCCUACGGGAGGCAGCAGUGGGGAAUAUUGGACAAUGGGCGCAAGCCUGAUCCAGCCAUGCCGCGUGAGUGAUGAAGGCCCUAGGGUUGUAAAGCUCUUUCACCGGUGAAGAUAAUGACGGUAACCGGAGAAGAAGCCCCGGCUAACUUCGUGCCAGCAGCCGCGGUAAUACGAAGGGGGCUAGCGUUGUUCGGAUUUACUGGGCGUAAAGCGCACGUAGGCGGACUAUUAAGUCAGGGGUGAAAUCCCGGGGCUCAACCCCGGAACUGCCUUUGAUACUGGUAGUCUUGAGUUCGAGAGAGGUGAGUGGAAUUCCGAGUGUAGAGGUGAAAUUCGUAGAUAUUCGGAGGAACACCAGUGGCGAAGGCGGCUCACUGGCUCGAUACUGACGCUGAGGUGCGAAAGCGUGGGGAGCAAACAGAAUUAGAUACCC
rnacentral:rRNA from 1 species